rnacentral:lncRNA from 1 species
UGAGUCCGAGUACUUUACUCUUAUGAGUAUAGACCACUUUGUACUCAUAAAUUUUCGACCGUUAGAUCUACCUUUUUAAUUAUUUUCAUACGUUGGAUCAUACUAUUCAAUCAACCACCCACUCAACUUGAGGAAACCACUAUCAUUUUAAUCGCACAUCUCUUCAUCCAACGGCCAAAAACUUAUGAAUUCGAAGGAAUUUAUACUCAUAAGAGUAUAGUAGCCAUAAUUCUAAAGUUAUAUAUAUUUGCUAAAAGUUAAGGGACCUAAUUGUUAAAAUUUAAAUUUCAGGCGGCUGUCUGUAAAUGAGUUAAAGUUCAGGGGGUUGUCUGUACAUUUUUCUUGUGGGCCCCGCAUGUCA